rnacentral:rRNA from 1 species
UGGGGAAUCUUGGACAAUGGGGGCAACCCUGAUCCAGCCAUGCCGCGUGAGUGAUGAAGGCCUUAGGGUUGUAAAGCUCUUUCACCGGUGAAGAUAAUGACGGUAGCCGGAGAAGAAGCCCCGGCUAACUCCGUGCCAGCAGCCGCGGUAAUACGGAGGGGGCUAGCGUUGUUCGGAAUUACUGGGCGUAAAGCGCGCGUAGGCGGACUGAUCAGUCAGGGGUGAAAUCCCGGGGGCUCAACCCCGGAACUGCCUUUGAUACUGUCAGUCUUGAGUCCGGAAGAGGCGAGUGGAAUACCGAGUGUAGAGGUGAAAUUCGUAGAUAUUUGGGAGGAACACCAGUGGCGAAGGCGGCUCACUGGCUCGAUACUGACGCUGAGGUGCGAAAGUGUGGGGAGCAAACAGGAUUAGAUACCCUGGUAGUCCACACCGUAAACGAUGAAUGCCAGUCGUCGGGUAGCAUGCUAUUCGGUGACACACCUAACGGAUUAAGCAUUCCGCCUGGGAGUACGGUCGCAAGAUUAAAAGCUC